rnacentral:rRNA from 1 species
AGAGUUUGAUCCUGGCUCAGAUGAACGCUGGCGGCAUGCCUUACACAUGCAAGUCGAACGGCUGCAUGAUCUAGCUUGCUAGAUUGAUGGCGAGUGGCGAACGGGUGAGUAAUACAUCGGAACGUGCCCUGUAGUGGGGGAUAACUAGUCGAAAGAUUAGCUAAUACCGCAUACGACCUGAGGGUGAAAGUGGGGGACCGCAAGGCCUCAUGCUAUAGGAGCGGCCGAUGUCUGAUUAGCUAGUUGGUGAGGUAAAGGCUCACCAAGGCGACGAUCAGUAGCUGGUCUGAGAGGACGAUCAGCCACACUGGGACUGAGACACGGCCCAGACUCCUACGGGGGGCAGCAGUAGGGAAUCUUCGGCAAUGGACGGAAGUCUGACCGAGCAACGCCGCGUGAGUGAAGAAGGUUUUCGGAUCGUAAGCUCUGUUGUAAGAGAAGAACGAGUGUGAGAGUGGAAAGUUCACACUGUGACGGUAUCUUACCAGAAAGGGACGGCUAACUACGUGCCAGCAGCCGCGGUAAUACGUAGGUCCCGAGCGUUGUCCGGAUUUAUUGGGCGUAAAGCGAGCGCAGGCGGUUAGAUAAGUCUGAAGUUAAAGGCUGUGGCUUAACCAUAGUACGCUUUGGAAACUGUUUAACUUGAGUGCAAGAGGGGAGAGUGGAAUUCCAUGUGUAGCGGUGAAAUGCGUAGAUAUAUGGAGGAACACCGGUGGCGAAAGCGGCUCUCUGGCUUGUAACUGACGCUGAGGCUCGAAAGCGUGGGGAGCAAACAGGAUUAGAUACCCUGGUAGUCCACGCCGUAAACGAUGAGUGCUAGGUGUUAGACCCUUUCCGGGGUUUAGUGCCGCAGCUAACGCAUUAAGCACUCCGCCUGGGGAGUACGACCGCAAGGUUGAAACUCAAAGGAAUUGACGG